AUUAGAAUAACUUUCAAUUUAAAGUGUUUCAAUACUCAUUCAACUCAUUUCUACUAAAUAAUUUAACAAUUAAAUUUUAUAGACUUAAUCUACCCCAAUAAGAUUUAUAAAAUUUGAGUUCUUUGCAUUUGGUGCAUUUAUGGUUACUAUUCACCUAACUAUUUAUUUUAAAAUAUUAACUUUUUCAUACUUAAGGGAUAUACUAGCUUUAAUUGCACCCAUAUACCACAUUUUCGGUUACAAUUGUGUUGGCAUUGAUUGCUAAUUGAAAUUCAAAACUCCCUAAGAAAAAUUUCAAAAUUUCAGUUUUGGUCACUUGGGUUUUCUAUUCCAUUGGACCUAUCUACAGUGAAAAUUUGAUCAACUUUUCUUCAUCAAAGUUGUU
rnacentral:misc_RNA from 1 species